GGCUUUAGAUCGCUGAAUUUACAGUCAAUUUCUUUAUUUUAAGAAGACUGUGAAACGGGGGAACCAAUCUUUUGGGGUGAAUUUUGCAAGCAGCAAAAAGGGAUACUCCAUUCCCUAAUCCGACAGCUAACCCCGUAAGCGUCAUGUCACUGGAGAG
rnacentral:sRNA from 2 species